GGAUUGUGGCUCAGUGGUAGCGCGCUUGCCUAGCAUGCAUGAGGCACAGGGUUCGAUUCUCAGCACCA
rnacentral:tRNA from 1 species